UACGGGGGGAGCAAGCGUUGUUCGGAUUUACUGGGCGUAAAGGGCGCGUAGGCGGUAGCACAAGUCAGUUGUGAAAUCUCCGGGCUUAACUCGGAAAGGUCAACUGAUACUGUGCGACUAGAGUGCAGAAGGGGCAACUGGAAUUCUCGGUGUAGCGGUGAAAUGCGUAGAUAUCGAGAGGAACACCUGCGGCGAAGGCGGGUUGCUGGGCUGAUACUGACGCUGAGGCGCGAAAGCCAGGGGAGCGAACGGG
rnacentral:rRNA from 1 species